rnacentral:rRNA from 1 species
UAGGGAAUAUUGCAAAAUGGGCGAAAGCCCGAUGCAGCAACGCCGCGUGGGCGAUGAAGGCCUUCGGGUCGUAAAGCCCUUUUUGAGGGGAUGAGGAAGGACAGUACCCUCAGAAUAAGCCUCGGCUAACUCCGUGCCAGCAGCCGCGGUAAUACGGAGGGUGCAAGCGUUAAUCGGAAUUACUGGGCGUAAAGCGCGCGUAGGCGGCCAUUUAAACUAGAUGUGAAAGCCCAGGGCUUAACCUUGGAAUUGCAUUUAGAACUGUAUGGCUAGAGUAUGGUAGAGGAGUGCGGAAUUUCAGGUGUAGCGGUGAAAUGCGUAGAGAUCUGAAGGAACAUCAGUGGCGAAGGCGACACUCUGGUCCAAUACUGACGCUGAGGUGCGAAAGCGUGGGGAUCAAACA